UACGUAGGGGGCUAGCGUUGUCCGGAAUCAUUGGGCGUAAAGAGCGUGUAGGCGGCUCGGUAAGUCCGCUGUAAAAGUCAAAGGCUCAACCUUUGAAUGUCAGUGGAUACUGCCGGGCUAGAGUCCGGAAGAGGCGAGUGGAACUCCUGGUGUAGCGGUGGAAUGCGCAGAUAUCAGGAAGAACACCAACGGCGAAGGCAGCUCGCUGGGACGGUACUGACGCUGAGACGCGAAGGCGUGGGGAGCGAACAGG
rnacentral:rRNA from 1 species